GAUGAAGAACGUAGCGAAAUGCGAUAAGUAAUGUGAAUUGCAGAAUUCAGUGAAUCAUCGAAUCUUUGAACGCACAUUGCGCCCCCCAGUAUUCUGGCGGGCAUGCCUGUUCGAGCGUCAUUUCAACCAUCAAGCCCUGCUUGUGUUGGGGUCCUGCGGCUGCCCGCAGGCCCUGAAAACCAGUGGCGGGCUCGCUAGUCACACCGAGCGCAGUAGCACAUCUCGCUCAGGGCGUGCUGCGGGCUCCAGCCGUUAAAGCACCCACCUUUCGCAAGGUUGACCUCGGAUCAGGUAGGAAUACCCGCUGAACUUAAGCAUAUCAAUAAGCGGAGGA
rnacentral:misc_RNA from 1 species